GGGAUGGAAGGGAGAGCUCUAUAGGACAGGGGGCAGAACAGGGAGCUCUUUCACACUACGCACACACACACAAUGCAUCCCUAUACACACAGAAACACAACAUGCUUCCCUUACACACAGAGAAAUACACAAUGCAUCCAUUACACACACACACACACACACAAUGCAACCAUUACACAUAAAGACAAUGCAUCCUUUGCACAUAUACACAGAAACACAAAAUGCAUCCCUUACACACACAUGCAAACACACACUGCUUCUCUAAAACAC